AUGGUUCCGGCCCAAACCACUCCCAGGGCCCGCCCCCGCCCCGCGCAGGCCCGGGCCCCGCUCCCCUGCGCCGUCACCGCCGAGGACGACGACGACGGCUUCUACGACGCCGCCGCCGGCUCCUCCCCCCCCUCCCCGCUGCCUCCCAAAUCUGGCGAGGACGACGGCUUCUUCGACGCCGCCGACGAAUCCUCCUCCUCCCCGCCGCCUCCCAAGGGGCCGGAAUCGGGUGCCCCCUCCACCGUCGACGUCUCCAGCUCCGACGAGUCUGAGGAUGACGCGCCGCUGGUGGUCCGGAGGCAAGUCAAGGUGGAGAAACCGCCGCAACUCCCAGAUCCAUCAUCCGCCUCCUCUGCCUUCGCCGAUCUGGCUACUCAGGAGGAGGAGGAGUCCGUCGACAAGGGGAACAGCAAAGCCACGGCAGCGACGGUCAGCAAGGAAAUUAAGCCGGAGAAACCACAAUUCCACGGUGAUUCACCAUUCACCUCUGCCUUAACCGAUCUUACUGCUCAGGAGGAGUCUUCUGUCGACAAGGGGAACAGCAAAGCCGCGGCGGCGGCGGUCAGGAAGGAAUCCAAGCUGGAGAAACCACAAGUCCCAGAUUCACCAUUCGACUUCUCCGAUCUUGGUGACGAGGAGGAGGCCAGUGCCAAGUGGAACAGCAAACCCACGGCGGUGGUCAAGAGGGAAGUCAAGGUGGAGAAACCCGACCCAGAUUUAUCGUUCGCCUCUGCUUUCACCGAUCGCCGUGUUCUGGAUGAUGCCAAUGACAAGGGGAAGAAAACCGGGGCAAGUGCUUAUGGCGGUGCCAAGUCGGGCAAGAGGGCAGCAUCAAAGCCCUCAUCCUUUGCGGAUUUUGAUGAAGAUGAUGACGGUGUCAGCGAGGAAAAGGAGAACCGUGCUGCUGAUGACACGGAGAAGGAUGUUGGCUGGGAGAAAACAGAGGAUUUCAAGAUGGAGCCCACCGGGUGCGGCAAAAUGGUCAAGCCCUACAAGCUCCCGGGGAGCAUUUUCAAGAUGCUUUACCCUCACCAGCGCGAGGGCCUCAAGUGGCUCUGGGUUCUGCAUUGCAGGGGAACUGGAGGGAUCCUUGGGGAUGACAUGGGUCUCGGCAAGACCAUGCAGGUUUCUGCCUUCCUGGCUGGAUUAUUCCAUUGCCGUUUAAUCAAGAGAGUGCUAGUGGUUGCGCCAAAGACACUUCUUACUCAUUGGUCCAAGGAACUUUCUGUUGUCGGCCUCAAACAUAAGAUUAGGGAUUACUCUGGUCCCAGCGUAAAUGUUCGCAAUUCUGAGCUUCAAUAUGCAUUCAAGGAGGGCGGCAUCCUUCUAACUACGUAUGACAUUGUCCGUAACAAUUACAAGUUGAUCAGAGGUGACUUCUACAAUGGCAACGUGGAAGGGAAGUAUGACAAGCUCAUCAGAGGUGACUCAUAUAACGAUGCUGAUGAAGAAGAGGAUGGGAAGUUGUGGAACUAUGUUAUUCUUGAUGAGGGACAUAUUAUCAAGAACCCGAGUACUCAACGGGCCAAAAGCUUACUCGAAAUACCGUGUGUCCACCGCAUCGUCAUAAGUGGAACACCUAUUCAAAACAAUUUAAAGGAAAUGUGGGCUCUGUUCUAUUUCUGUUGCCCGGAGAUCUUGGGUGAUAAGGAUGAGUUCAAAUCAAGAUAUGAAUCGGCUAUCAUUCGAGGAAAUGACAAGAAUGCCACCAAUCGAGAGAAGCACACAGGCUCAACUGUUGCAAAGGCAUUAAGGGAGCGUAUAAAGCCAUACUUCUUGCGUCGUAUGAAAAGUGAAGUGUUCCUUGAUACUGGUUCGGCAGAUGAUAAAAAACUUUCCAAGAAGAACGAGCUAAUUGUUUGGCUGAGGUUAACAGCUUGCCAGAGGCAACUAUAUGAAGCUUUUCUGAACAGUGAUCUUGUUCAUUCAUCAAUGCAAGGAUCACCAUUGGCUGCAAUCACGGUAUUGAAGAAAAUAUGCGACCAUCCAUUGAUAUUGACCAAGAGAGCUGCUGAGGACAUCUUGGAAGGCAUGGAAGGCAUGUUGGAUAACAAGGAUAUGGGUAUGGUAGAGAAAAUGGCCAUGAACCUUGCAGACAUGGCUCAUGAUGACCAAGCGCUGCAAGUCGGCGAGGAGGUCUCAUGCAAAUUAAUUUUUAUCAUGUCCUUGUUGCGGAAACUUCUUGAAGAGGGACACCAUGUCCUUAUCUUUUCCCAGACGCGCAAAAUGCUAAACCUUAUUCAGGAAGCUAUAUUACUGGAGGGCUACAAGUUUUUACGCAUUGAUGGUACUACCAAGAUUGCUGAGAGGGAAAGGAUCGUGAAGGACUUCCAAGAGGGGCCUGGAGCACAAAUAUUUUUGCUGACCACACAAGUUGGUGGGCUUGGACUUACACUCACCAAGGCAGCUCGUGUCAUCGUGGUCGAUCCUGCUUGGAAUCCAAGUACGGACAAUCAGAGUGUGGAUCGUGCUUAUCGAAUUGGUCAGACCAAAGAUGUGAUUGUAUACCGCUUGAUGACAUCUGGAACCAUCGAAGAAAAGAUAUACAAAUUGCAGGUUUUCAAGGGCGCUUUGUUUAGAACAGCCACAGAGCAGAAAGAACAAACACGCUACUUCAGCAAGAGGGACAUUCAAGAGCUCUUUAGUCUGCCAGCACAAGGUUUUGAUGUUUCCCUUACACAAAAGCAGUUGCAGGAAGAGCAUGGACAGCAACUUGUCAUGGAUGAGUCACUGAGGGAGCACAUAGAGUUUCUGGAACGACAAGGAAUAGCGGGUGUAAGCCACCACAGCCUCCUAUUUUCCAAAACAGCAGUCUUGCCUUCGUUGGAGCCUGAAGCUAUGGAGAGCAAGCACCCAAGCAUGCCGAUGAUGGCCAGGCAGUACAACAAGGCAUCAUCCUCGAUGGACUAUGUCGCCAACGGCGCUGCCCAUGCUUUCAAGCCAAAGGACUUCACUCCAAGAGCAUACUCUGCAAGCAAUACGAGUUCAGAGAGCCCCGAGGAAAUCAAGGCAAAAAUCAACCGCCUGUCGCAAACCCUUUCAAACACGACGCUGGUGUCGAGGCUGCCUGACCGUGGGGAGAAGCUCAAGAAGCAGAUACACGAUCUGGACGAGAAGCUGACGGUGAUCGAGUCGUCUCCAGAGUCGUCGUCGAUGAUGUCCAGAGGGAGGGCGCCUGAAGUGAUCUGCUUGGAUGAUCAGAGCCUAUAA
rnacentral:rRNA from 1 species